GCUUCUUACUUUCACAGCUUAAUGUGCAGAAGCUGCGCAACAUGGCUAUGUUGGCUAUGCUGACUUGCCUUGCAGCCUUUGUGGUGCAGCGAUUCCUGCACUGAAGCUGAGCAGUCGAUGCAGGUCAUCUGCAGCUGGAAUCCAGUCUGGUCCAUCACUGUAUUAGUCAGAUGCAUUUCAUAUUUGAAAUGCUUGGACUACUUGGACUUAUAUUUGGAAGUCCAAGUUAUAUUUGGAAGGACAUAUGAUUGAAGUUAUCAUUUUAAAGAUGUUUUGUGUAAACCAAGUAUAUAAAAUCUUCUACAUUUUUAUGCUCACAUUUGUGAUUUAACUGUAGGAGUCAGUGUCCAGCAAUAUGUUACCAUAGCAAUCCAUUAGAGUUAAUAAAAAUCUCUCUUUAGUUCAGGCUGGUCCUCACAUUUCCUGUUAAU